UGAUGAUGGUAAGGAUAAUUUCUGAGCAUACCCUUAAAUUUCUUCCAAGCUUGGUAGAGAUUCUCUCCUUCUUUAUGUCUGAAACUUAAGAUCUCGCUCCUCAAGCG
rfam:Capsicum annuum cultivar Zunla-1 chromosome 4, whole genome shotgun sequence